GCUGCGGGCUCCGCGCGCGCGGGCCAUGUCCGCCUUCUGCCUGGGCUUGGCCGGCCGCGCUUCAGCACCCGCCGAGCCGGACAGCGCCUGCUGCAUGGAGCUGCCCGCCGCGGCCGGGGACGCAGUCCGGAGUCCCGCCGCCGCCGCCGCCGCCCUCAUCUCCUUCCCCGGGGGCCCGGGGGAGCUGGAACUGGCGUUAGAGGAGGAGCUGGCGCUGCUGGCGGCCGGGGAGCGGCCGUCCGACCCCGGGGAGCAUCCUCAGGCCGAGCCGGGGCCUACAGCCGAGGGGGCUGGACCGCAGCCGCCGCCCGCCCAGGACCCCGAGCUGCUGUCGGUAAUCCGGCAGAAGGAGAAGGAUCUGGUGUUGGCGGCCCGGCUGGGCAAGGCGCUGCUCGAGAGGAACCAGGACAUGAGCCGGCAGUACGAGCAGAUGCACAAGGAGCUGACAGACAAGCUAGAGCACUUAGAACAAGAGAAACAUGAACUGAGAAGACGAUUUGAGAACCGAGAAGGGGAGUGGGAAGGGCGAGUGUCAGAGCUGGAGAGUGAUGUCAAACAGCUACAGGACGAGUUAGAGAGGCAGCAAGUUCAUCUGCGGGAAGCAGAUCGAGAAAAAACACGGGCUGUUCAGGAACUAUCAGAACAGAACCAAAGGUUAUUGGAUCAACUCAGCAGGGCAUCAGAAGUUGAGAGACAACUCUCCAUGCAGGUCCACGCCCUCAGAGAAGACUUCCGUGAGAAAAACUCGUCGACCAACCAGCACAUCAUCAGGCUGGAGAGCCUUCAGGCUGAGCAGGUUCUUGAAAUCAAGAUGCUGUCAGAUCGGAAACGGGAGCUGGAGCAUCGUCUCAGUGCCACCUUAGAGGAAAAUGACCUGCUCCAAGGGACCGUGGAGGAGCUGCAGGACCGGGUGCUGAUCCUGGAGAGGCAGGGCCAUGACAAAGACCUACAGCUGCACCAAAGCCAGCUGGAGCUCCAGGAGGUGCGUCUCUCCUACCGACAGCUGCAGGUGAAGGUGGAAGAACUCACGGAGGAGAGGAGUCUGCAGAGCUCUGCCGCCACCAGCACAUCUCUCCUGUCAGAGAUCGAGCAGAGCAUGGAGGCCGAGGAGCUGGAGCAAGAGAGAGAACAGCUGAGACUGCAGCUCUGGGAAGCCUACUGCCAGGUUCGCUAUCUCUGCUCACACCUUCGAGGGAACGACAGUGCCGACUCCGCUGUCUCCACGGACUCCUCAAUGGACGAAUCUUCAGAAACUUCAUCCGCCAAGGAUGUGCCAGCCGGCAGCUUGCGCACUGCCCUCAACGAGCUCAAGAGACUAAUACAGAGCAUUGUGGACGGCAUGGAGCCCACGAGCUCCCGGAGACUUGACGAUGACUCGUUAGAAGAACAGAUAAGGCAGACCAGUGAGGACUCGAGAGCACUAAGGGAGCUCAUGGAGGGAGAGAGGGGUAAACUGAGGCAAAGCCUAGAAGAGCUGCAGCAACUCCACAGUCAGGUGACACUGCUGAGUGUGGAGAUGACUGCACUCAAAGAGGAGAGAGACCGACUCAGAGUGACAUCUGAGGAUAAGGAGCCAAAGGAGCAGCUUCAGAAGGCCAUCAGGGACCGGGACGAGGCCAUUGCAAAGAAAAAUGCUGUGGAGCUGGAACUCGCCAAGUGCAGGAUGGACAUGAUGUCUCUGAACAGCCAGCUGCUGGACGCCAUUCAGCAGAAGCUGAACCUCUCACAGCAGCUGGAGGCUUGGCAGUUUGCUUCCUCAGGGCUUUUUACUAUCUGGCUCCUUUGGUUUCUGAUCUAGUGGCCUUUCUCAGUUCCCGUAUCAACAGCUUUAGUUGUACACCCCUCCUGCCUUUGAGGACGACAUGCACAGGGUCAUUGACCGGCAGCUGAUGGACACGCACCUGAAGGAACGGAGCCGGCCGGCUGCUGCCUUCUCCAGGGGCCACGGUGCGGGGCGGGGGGACGAGCCCAGCACCACUGAAGGCAAACGGCUCUUCUCCUUCUUCAGGAAGAUUUAAGUUGGGAGGAGUCAGGCCACCAGAUGGGUGGACUGGAGGAGGCUGACAAGGUGGUGGGGGCCAGGCCCUCCCCUGAGGCCUGGGGCUGGCAGCUGCACUGCCCCACCUAGGGCCCCAUGGGUGCCCCCUUUUGCCAGCGGGGAUGGAGACCUCAAGGUGGGGGCCUGCCUUGGCCUCUGAAGGCUGCCCUCGCCCUGCCACCUGGCCAAGCCUUCCCCAGGAUCCUGUCAUCGAGCAGGGCUCAGGCUGCUUCCCAGAGUGGCCCCUUGCUUAGGCUCUGCGGCUCAGACCCAACGGACUGCAGCCCACCCGCAGGUACUGCUGCCUCGGCUUUAGGAAAUGGGCAACAGAAGGAAUGGAGGCCCCUCUCUGCAUGCUUCAGGAGGCCUGCGCCUUGGGGCCGAGUCCUGGGCCUCCGUUCCUUCCCCAGGCCCCAGCCCGGGGAACUUAAGGGGAGGCGGUGGCCACUCGUACCCACGUGCAUGCACCCCUGCCCGGGCACCUCUGCGGGCAGGAGGCUGAGUGGCGGCCACGGGGCCUGAGAGCUGCGGCCUAUCCAAGCCGGGCUGAGGCCAUCCCAAGCCCCAGGGAGGAAGGAGGCCCUGUCCCCUGGCUGCCGCUGCUCUCCUUCCUCAGCCUCUUUUAGUGCAGUCUUUGCCCCUCAGCAGGGCACAGGCCAGGCAGUGUGUUCUCACUGGUCCGCUGCUGGCUUCAGCCAUCCAGCCCUUUCCCCUUCACAGGACUGGGGCUGGGAGGGGUCUCUUCCUGUAGCCCCCUGCGCCUCACACAACUUCUUGGCCCAGCCAACCAAGUCUAGGCUGCAGAAUGGCCCCAGAGGGGUCUGUGGUCAGCGCCCCCAGGGCAGUCUCAUCACCACAGCCUGGAUGGGAGAGGGGAGGCCGAGGGGGCCUCCAGCUACUACCCACCAGGCCUGCACCGGGCCGGGGCUGCCCCCGCUGCUGCUCCUUAGCUGCCGCACGUCCCCGCCCAGGCCCCAGCAGGGCUCCGCGCCGGGCCACCCGCAGCCGCCCUCCGCUGACUGGGUCUCCCACUUCCUCACACGGGAAAGCACAGCAGGGAUGAGCGGAAAGAAUGUUCCUAUAGAUAUGUACAUACCACAGUGCUGUAAUUUUGUAUGUAGCAAUCAUGUAAAUACAUGUAUGGAUUUUAUAAUAUACUAUAUAUAUAAAUCUAUAAAGGCAUAUUUUUAGAAAAACAGCGCACCACUGCUUCUUUUGAAAAUAGACUAAGAAUAAAAUGAAUUUCUACACAG